rnacentral:lncRNA from 1 species
CUCUAAGUCUCUGGAGGUGGUAACAACCCAAAAUAUCACACAAAGUAUAUUUUUAGGAAGCUCCUCCUCUGCUGACUCUGCCAAGCAAUCCUGGGAAUGCUUCUUGAAGAGACUGUUCACAGCCUUGAAUUUGAAAAUGCUUA